AUUGAACGCUGGCGGCAUGCUCUACACAUGCAAGUCGAACGGUAACAGGCCGCUAGGUGCUGACGAGUGGCGAACGGGGGAGUAAUGCAUCGGAACGUGCCCAGUCGUGGGGGAUAACUACUCGAAAGAGUAGCUAAUAUCGCAUACGAUCUAUGGAUGAAAGCGGGGGACCGUAAGGCACCGCGCGAUUGGAGCUGCCGAUGUCUGAUUAGGUAGUUGGUGGGGUAAAGGCUCACCAAGCCAACGAUCUGUAGCUGGUCUGAGAGGACGACCAGCCACACUGGGACUGAGACACGGCCCAGACUCCUACGGGAGGCAGCAGUGGGGAAUUUUGGACAAUGGGCGCAAGCCUGAUCCAGCAAUGCCGCGUGCAGGAAGAAGGCCUUCGGGUUGUAAACUGCUUUUGUACGGAACGAAACGGAGCUGGUUAAUACCCGGGGCUAAUGACGGUACCGUAAGAAUAAGCACCGGCUAACUACGUG
rnacentral:rRNA from 1 species